rnacentral:rRNA from 1 species
UCCCCUAGUAACGGCGAGUGAAGCGGGAACAGCUCAAAUUUGAAAUCAGGGUGGGUUACCAGUCCUGACGUGUAGUUUGAUGAGGCAUGCUCAACGAGUAGCUCAGGUCCAAGUCCUCUGGAAAGAGGCGCCAUAGAGGGUGACAGUCCCGUCUGUGGCCUGACGCUGCUAACUUGAGGGCAGCCUUCAAAGAGUCGGGUUGUUUGGGAUUGCAGCCCAAAGCAGGUGGUAAAUUCCAUCUAAGGCUAAAUAUUGGUGAGAGACCGAUAGCGAACAAGUACUGUGAAGGAAAGUUGAAAAGCACUCUGAAGAGAGAGUUAAAUAGUACGUGAAAUUGCCAACAGGGAAACGUUGGGGGUUAGUGCGCGCCAGUGUGGAAUCAGGUGGGAGACGGCAGUUAUGCAGGUGCUGGAUACUUUGUACCAAUAUCCUGCUUCAGCGGUCUUUUCCCACUGCACUUCUGUACUGGCGGGGUCAGCACGGGUUAGGGCCGCCUCAGAAACGGAGGGCUGAAGUGCAUUCGUGUGCUGCAGUCUUUCUAUAUGGCCGCCCUGACUCUGAAGUCUAGCAGAGACGACGCCUUGCGGUUUCAAUGGGUGUCUGGGCUGCUCAGGACGCUGCUGGCAAAAUGGCCUUCAACGACCCGUCUUGAAACACGGACCAAGGAGUCUAACAUGUGCGCGAGUGUUUGGGUGCCAAACCCGCACGCGUAACGAAAGUAACCUGGGCAGGACGCCUUAUACCCUUAAGGCAGGCACUGUCGACCGGUCUGCAUCUGCUCUCGGGCUAGCAGGCUGAGUAGGAGCGCACAUGGUAGGACCCGAAAGAUGGUGAACUAUGCCUGAGUAGGAUGAAGCCAGAGGAAACUCUGGUGGAGGUCCGCAGCGGUUCUGACGUGCAAAUCGAUCGUCAAACUUGGGUAUAGGGGCGAAAGACUAAUCGAACCAUCUAGUAGCUGGUUCCUGUCGAAGUUUCCCUCAGGAUAGCAGAAGUGUGAGCAGUAUUAUGGGGUAAAGCGAAUGAUUAGAGGCCUUGGGGAUGUAACAUCCUUAACCUAUUCUCAAACUUUAAAUAUGUAAGAUGCCCUUGCUACUUAGCUGAGCUUGGGUGCGUAUGCGUGUACUUCUAGUGGGCCAUUUUUGGUAAGCAGAACUGGCGAUGUGGGAUGAACCAAACGGGAGGUUAAGGUGCCGGAAUGCACGCUCAUUUAGACACCACAAAAGGUGUUAGUUCAUUUAAACAGUUGGACGGUGGCCAUGGAAGUCGGAAUCCGCUAAGGAGUGUGUAACAACUCACCAAUCGAAUGAACUAGCCCUGAAAAUGGAUGGCGCUCAAGCGUGCUACCCAAACCUCCCCACUGGGGCUAAUAUGGAGGCCACAGUGAGUAGGCAGGCGUGGAGGUUGUGGCGAAGCUA